GAUAAACGCUGGCGGCGUGCAUAACACAUGCAAGUCGAACGAAGUGGCGAACGGGUGAGUAACACGUGAGUAACCUGCCUUAAACCCGGGGAUAGCCUUUAGAAACGAAGUAAAAUACCCUAUAGUGUAAGAUGGACUUGCGUCGGAUUAGCGAGUUGGUGAGAUAACAGCCCACCAAGCCGACGGUCAGUAGCCGGCUUGAGGGAGUGUACGGCCACAUGGGGACUGAGACACGGCCCAAACUCUACGGGAGGCAGCAGUGGGGAAUUUUGCACAAUGGGGGAAACCCUGAUGCAGCGACGCCGCGUGAUUUAGAAGGCCUUCGGGUUGUAAAAAUCUUUUUUAUGGGAUGCAGUACCAUAAGAAUAAGGUCCGGCUAAAUACGUGCCAGCAGCCGCGGUAAUUC
rnacentral:rRNA from 1 species